rnacentral:rRNA from 1 species
UGGGGAAUAUUGGACAAUGGGCGAAAGCCUGAUCCAGCCAUGCCGCGUGUGUGAAGAAGGUCUUCGGAUUGUAAAGCACUUUAAGUUGGGAGGAAGGGCAUUAACCUAAUACGUUAGUGUUUUGACGUUACCGACAGAAUAAGCACCGGCUAACUCUGUGCCAGCAGCCGCGGUAAUACAGAGGGUGCAAGCGUUAAUCGGAAUUACUGGGCGUAAAGCGCGCGUAGGUGGUUUGUUAAGUUGGAUGUGAAAUCCCCGGGCUCAACCUGGGAACUGCAUUCAAAACUGACUGACUAGAGUAUGGUGGAGGGUGGUGGAAUUUCCUGUGUAGCGGUGAAAUGCGUAGAUAUAGGAAGGAACACCAGUGGCGAAGGCGACCACCUGGACUAAUACUGACACUGAGGUGCGAAAGCGUGGGGAGCAAACA